GAAAAAGAGAGAAGAAACCGACGCGAACAUCUCUCCUCCUCUGCUUCUCCCUCUCGGCGGCCACCGACGGGCUCGGAGUCGCACUCAUCGCCUUCUCAAUCAGCGCCGGCCUCUAUACCUGCUGCCAUAUAUCUAGAUAUAAAGUCUAUUUUGAGCGAGGAAAAUAAGAUACAGUUUUGUUCUUUGAAAAACAUUUGAUACCUUGCUCUGUCCCCGUGGAUCCCUAAGGAAGAGGGGCUCUUCCAGCAACCGGAGUGCCACCAAGAGCCGACAUCAUCAACAUCUCCAUUAGAAGCCGGAGAGUAUGAUCCAAGCAAACCGAGCCGCUAAAGAGACAUAGAGCUUAAGUGGAGAAGGGGAGGAGCAAAGUGUUGAGCUAGACGAAGAGGAGGUGAGGCAUGAUAAACAAAGAACAAUGGCCAGAGAGCUGAAGUGGAGAAGGGGAGGAGCGAACUACUGAGCGAGACGAAGAGGAGGUGAUGCCGAAGAACAAUGGAAUUUUAGUCCCACAUCGCUAAAUAUAACCCUCCGAGUGCGACUGAGAACUUUAAAAGAAGGAAGGAUCCUAUCAUAUAAUUCAUACCUUUCUCGGCCUUUUGGCUAAGAUCAAGUGUAGUAUAUGUUCUUAUCAGUUUAAUAUCUGAUACGUGGGCCAUUGGUCCAUUAUGAUAUUAAA